UUUGUGUCAAACUUUCAAAUAGAAAAUGAAGGACGUCGUUGAGAUCAGAAUAUUAUUAGAACCUAGCUAUUAGUAGAUCUGAACAUUUGAUUGGCAUAUAUGGUGUUGUUUGCCAGAAAAAUCGAGAUGAAGAUAUUUCUUCCAUGUAGAGUUGCUUCAAAAAUAAUAAGCAACUACAAUGGUGACAAGAGCAGCACGCUGGUGUUGAUUAAUAAAUAAUAAGUAAUUUAGUGAGGUCCAUUACCAUAAUUGUUACUUCUGCUAUAUAAAUUAAGGGUAAAUUAUCAUCAAGCAAGGUUUUCAUAAGUCGUUCUUUCCCUAUUGAGAUUGUCGACAAGAUUUACUAUUGUCAAACAAGAACAGGGGCGGAUCCAAGUUAUAACAACCUGGGACUCAAGUCCCACCCAAAUAUUUUGAAGAAAAAAAUUACUUGCAUAUAGGUGUCUUGCUUUCUCUUUAUCAUAUCUUGAUUGCAAGGUUUUUGUCCAGCCCAAGUCCCACUUUAGCCCACUCCAGUUGCCCAACUAAUGUUUCAUUUAUUUUUUUUGUUGUUUUUUUUUUAUUAAUUUUUUUUUUUUUNNNNNNNNNNNNNNNNNNNNAGAAAGAUAAAGAAUACAGAUCGACAAGGAAGAUGAAACAGUUGGAGUGAAGGAAUACUUGAUAUGUUUUAUUCUCUUUUUUUUUAAUUUAAACGAAGAAGAUGAAAAUAAUUAGUUAACAGUGUUGAUCUCUGUUAAGUUGGAAGACAAAUGUCAUGAUAUGAGGGUUGGCACAAGCAGGGCGGAUCCAAGUUAUAACAACCUGGGACUCAAGUCCCACCCAAAUAUUUUGAAGAAAAAAUUACUUGCAUAUAGGUGUCUUGCUUUCUCUUUAUCAUAUCUUGAUUGCAAGGUUUUUGUCCAGCCUAAGUCCCACUUUAGCCCACUCCAGUUGCCCAACUAAUGUUUCAUUUUGUUUUUUUUGUUUGUUUUUUUUUAUUUAAUUUUUUUGUUUUUUUUUUUUUAUUAAAAAGAGGGAUCCCUAUUCAAAAAAAUAAAAUAAAAAGAGGGAUAAAUCAACCACAUAGAAAAGAAGUAAAGUCUAAAACUUUAGACCAAAGAAGAAGUCCAAAACUCGUCUCUCUCUUGGGGUUGAGUGAUUGAAUUAACACUAAAUUUCAUCCUUUUUUCUGACCCUUUCAAGCCUGAAGGUAGUUCCAUCCCUGAUUAGUCUUCAUCACAUAUGUAAAUAUUUAGUGAGAUGCAUUACAUCUAUAUAUUUUGAAUUACAUUGACAUGUUAUUUAGCUUCUUUUAUGUUACAUAUACAGAGUUUACAUAUGUUGUUUUGUAUAAGCAUGCAUUCAAGGGGCAAGACUCGUUAUGGCCCUUUGUCUGUGUGCAUACUUUUUCUCUCACGUGCCGUCGAACAUUUUUUUUNNNNNNNNNNNNNNNNNNNNCAAGUCCCACCCGGUUUGAAUUCCUGGAUCCGCCCCUGAACAAGAAAAUAAUCAUUUUGAGCAAGUUGGGUUGCAACUUUGCAACUUGCAAACAAGUACGUAAUGCUUCUCUACUUAGCUGCAUUCCUGCAUCGUUUUUCCUGUAAAAUGGAGUUUUCCAGCUUCUCCUUUUUCUGUUGUUCUUGCUGUUCUGAGUGUUCUCAAUGAAGGUUCUUAAUUUUGUCAACAGCAAAAACGAAAAAAAAAAAAAGCUAGUAAAACUAGCUCAAUAAUGUACGUAGUUUCCUACGUACUAAUUGGUAUUGUAAUACGUACACUAGGAAGGUUUUGUGAAAGAUACUCAAUGCAAACAAUAUUACUACGCUAUUUAAGAUUCCUACGAUUUAUAUCUCAUUCAAUCAAUUUAGUGAGCAUAGCUUUUUUAGUUUCUUUUACUUUCCUACCGCGGUUUGUCUUUUACAAUGAUCCAAUAUUUACUUAAAUUAUCAAAAUAAAAAAAGUACUUAAACUAUCCCUUAAAAUAUGUCCUGAACAUUUUGAAAGUUCAUCCAUCAUUCAUAUAAUACACUAUUUUUCCAAUUUUGUAGGUAUCCAUGCAUCUGUCUUAUAAUAGAGCAUUAUAACUAUGCAGUUUAUAGCCUAUCAAUGGAAUGGAAUAAUCUGGUUAACUAACUUGUCUUACUCUCUGUACUUAAUUAGCUCCAAGUAAUAAUGGUUCACAUAAGUCUAUCAUUUGUAUUUUAAUUAGAAACAUCAAAGCACCAAUGAGCUAGACUAGGAGGGUUUGUUUAAUAUGGUAAGAGUCAAAUGAUUACACGAUAUAGGUGGUCCGUGAGCCGUGGUUUGGUUGAUUAAGGUGUUUAACUAACAACUUUGAGAUCACGGGUUCAAACCUCAUGGACAUAUGUAUGAGUUAUUAAUAAAACGUUUUUAAAAAAAAUAAAAAAUUACACGAUAUAGGCCUACUAAAACAAAUUAGCAAAGUGUAGUUUAGGUAGUCCAUCUCUAUCAUUUAGGCUUUUGAAAAUCAUGAUAUAUAGUUUCUCAUUUUCCUCAAGAACAACAAUUCAAAGUUGAUUUAGUUUCUCCUCAAAAAAAUUCAAAGUUGAUUUAGUUCAAAUCAGGAUUAAAAUACAGAUUUCAUACUGGAUACAUUGCACAAAUUAAGCUGGAUUAUAGUCCAAGACACAAGCUUCAGCCACUUACAUAUGCUAAUUGGUUAACUAAGAAUCAAUUAUAAACUAAUUUUUUUAGCUCGAACUUUUGUUUAGAACUUAUAUCGAAAGUUUUAAUAGUAAAAAUCCUCUCUAUAUGUGUGUGUGUGUGUGUUCUUUUAAGUUGUAAAGUUAUAGGAGAUUACCAACCCUUCUCAUUUCUUUAAUUUUCGAACUAGAG
rnacentral:lncRNA from 1 species